rnacentral:rRNA from 1 species
AGUGAACGCUGGCGGUAGGCCUAACACAUGCAAGUCGAACGGCAGCACAGUAAGAGCUUGCUCUUACGGGUGGCGAGUGGCGGACGGGUGACGAAUACAUCGGAAUCUACUUUUUCGUGGGGGAUCACGUAGGGAAACUUACGCUAAUACCGCAUACGCCCUACGGGUGAAAGCAGGGGAUCUUCGGACCUGUCGCGAAUGAAUGAGCCGAUGUCGGUCUAGCUAGUUGGCGGGGUAAAGGCCCACCAAGUCGGCGAUCCGUAGCUGGUCUGGGAGGAGGAUCGCCCACACGAGAGCUGGACCACGGUCCAGACUCCUACGGGAGGCAGCAGUGUGGUAUAUGGGGCAAUGGUGGCGAGCAUGACACAGUCAGACCGCGUGUGUUACGAAGGCGUUGGGUUCGUAAUGCCGCUUUGUGGGUAGAGAAAAGCAGCAGGUUAAGACGCCGCUGUUCUGACGGUACCCAAUGAAUAAGCACCGGCUAACUUCGUG